rnacentral:lncRNA from 1 species
CCUAAAUCAGCCUCUUGCCCCAUUGCUCUUUGCAGGGGUAGAAGAAGGAAGUGUAGCGGGGUAAGGAAUGCACCGUCAGGGUCUCUCACAACCCUUUCCCAGCUCUCCUCCCCAACAAACAGUACCUGGGAUGGAGCCCUAGGGUAAUCGCAGCCACGGGAUGGGUCGAGGUGACAGGCUUCAGGGACCACACUUCGGCCUUUGCCCGACCUUCCACAACUUAAGCGAAGAGAGGCCACCAGCCGUAACAGGGCGUUAAAGCCCAGGGGAAGAUUGGUCCUUAUGACUUCCUGCCUUCCAGCCCUCAGAUUCAUCGCUACCCCGAGGCUAAGCGCCAUGCCUCAUAUUGACAACGAUGUGAAACUGGACUUCAAGGAUGUCCUUUUGAGGCCCAAACGCAGUACCCUUAAGUCUCGAAGUGAGGUGGAUCUCACAAGAUCCUUUUCAUUUCGGAACUCAAAGCAGACAUACUCUGGGGUUCCCAUCAUUGCUGCCAAUAUGGAUACUGUGGGCACCUUUGAGAUGGCCAAGGUUCUCUUUCUCUCUCUUCACUGCUGUCCAUAAGCACUAUAGCCUCGUUCAGUGGCAAGAGUUUGCUGGCCAGAAUCCUGACUGUCUUGAGCAUCUGGCUGCCAGCUCAGGCACAGGCUCUUCUGACUUUGAGCAGCUGGAACAGAUCCUGGAAGCUAUUCCCCAGGUGAAGUAUAUAUGCCUGGAUGUG